UGAACAAGUGUCAUUAUGUCAUGUUUCC
rnacentral:sRNA from 1 species